rfam:Erinaceus europaeus unplaced genomic scaffold scaffold00337, whole genome shotgun sequence
CAUGACUGGAAAAAUGGCUAGAACCUCUACUAUGGCCAUGGGUGAGAUCUAGCGCCUAAAGCCAGCGGGGCCUCAGCUCACCGCCUGCCUUCAGUGCGCUCAGGUGAAACCCAGGCCCCAACACGC